rnacentral:rRNA from 1 species
UACGUAGGGGGCAAGCGUUAUCCGGAAUUAUUGGGCGUAAAGCGCGCGCAGGCGGUUGAUUAAGUCAGAUGUGAAAGGCUACGGCUCAACCGUAGAGUUGCAUUUGAAACUGGUUAACUUGAGUGCAGGAGAGGUAAGUGGAAUUCCCGGUGUAGCGGUGGAAUGCGUAGAGAUCGGGAGGAACACCAGUGGCGAAGGCGGCUUACUGGCCUGCAACUGACGCUGAGGCGCGAAAGCGUGGGGAGCGAACAGG